UCAGGCUGCGGGUGGCCAGGUCAGCAGAUGGCGACUGGUAUAAGCCCAGGGGGACUCGCCCUCUGCCAGGCAGGUCCGUGAUUCCUGUCCCCUGCUAGACUGACGUUAAAAAAGCCACCCAGCAUGUCCCCAGGGUUGCUUUUCCAAGUGUCAACGAGGGGGUCAUGACAGACCAGAGUGGGGGCCAUUCCCACCCCUCUCACGGUGACCGGGAUGGGGAAGGGGCGUGAUGGGCCCUGUCCCUGCCGGGGUCAGAGCCCUGGGUCUUGUGACACCUCCCUACCUCUCACGACAAGGACUCUCCGUGCAUAGAGAAUGAAGUGCAUCGCAUCUCGUCUCCUCCAGAGGCGAAGCAGAGGAGCAGCCCAGCCCCGCGCUGGAGGCCUCGUCAGGAAGCCUCACCUCUCGCCUGGACCGUCUUCUGGCCUCUGAGCCCCAACGGGGCAUGUGGAGCCCUGGAGAGGGUCCCCUCCACCCUGCACCAGGCUCGUGGGGUGAGCAGCAUCUUCUCUCCUACACAUCAGCACCCACCUGCUCUGAAAAGCUGUGCCUGGGCUUGGUGCCCUUUGUCUGUGCCCCACGGCCCCUGCACGGCUUCCUUCUUAGUGGUGGUCUCACGCUUGACAUGAGAUGUGGGAACAGCAUCACGGUGAACACUGCCAUGCAUGGUGUCCAACUCAAGAAGAGACAUGGGUCCCUGGCAGCCAGCAGCACCAGAAGCUAUGCCCACGGUGGUUUUGAUUCAAGUUGCUUAUAAAAAAAAAUAUAGGGCUGGGCUGGGCACGGUGGCACAUGCCUGUAUUUCCAGGGACUCAGGAGGCUGAGGCAGGAGGACGGCAAGUUCGAGGCCAACCUCGGCAAUUUAGCAAGAUCCCUAAGCAACUUAGCCAGACCCUGUCUCAAAAUAAAAAUAAAUAAAUAAAAGGUUGGAGAGGUUGCUCCAGUGGUUAA